rnacentral:tRNA from 1 species
GGGGGAUUAGCUCAGUUGGGAGAGCGCUAGCCUCGCAUGCUAGAGGUCAGGGGUUCAAAUCCCCUAUCCUCC